GACGAACGCUGGCGGCGUGCCUAAUACAUGCAAGUUGAGCGAUGAAGAUUGGUGCUUGCACCAAUUUGAAGAGCAGCGAACGGGUGAGUAACGCGUGGGGAAUCUGCCUUUGAGCGGGGGACAACAUUUGGAAACGAAUGCUAAUACCGCAUAACAACUUUAAACAUAAGUUUUAAGUUUGAAAGAUGCAAUUGCAUCACUCAAAGAUGAUCCCGCGUUGUAUUAGCUAGUUGGUGAGGUAAAGGCUCACCAAGGCGAUGAUACAUAGCCGACCUGAGAGGGGGAACGGCCACAUUGGGGCUGAGACACGGCCCAAACUCCUACGGGAGGCAGCAGUAGGGAAUCUUCGGAAAUAGACGAAAGUCUGACCGAGCAACGCCGCGGGAGUGAAGAAGGUUUUCGGAUCGUAAAACUCUGUUGGUAGAGAAGAAAGUUGGUGAGAGUGGAAAGCUCAUCAAGUGACGGUAACUACACAGAAAGGGACGGCUAACUACGUG
rnacentral:rRNA from 1 species